UACAGGGGGGGCAAGCGUUGUUCGGAAUUACUGGGCGUAAAGGGCUUGUAGGUGGCCGACUAAGUCCGACGUGAAAUCCCCAGGCUUAACCUGGGAACUGCGUCGGAUACUGGUUGGCUUGAAUCCGGGAGAGGGAUGCGGAAUUCCAGGUGUAGCGGUGAAAUGCGUAGAUAUCUGGAGGAACACCGAUGGCGAAGGCAGCUCGCUGGGACGGUACUGACGCUGAGGCGCGAAAGCGUGGGGAGCGAACAGG
rnacentral:rRNA from 1 species